UCAAAAAGAAGAAAAGCUUGCUCCAUCAGAUGUUUUUUUCUUCAGGAAUCGUCUCUACAGAAGCUUGACAUUGCAUGCUAUUUCAUUGAGGGCGAGUUUUUAAACAAGGGUAAACCGGUCACUACCAUGAGGGCAUUCCCAGCCAAUAAUGCUUCAGAAGAUUCUAUUAAAAGAGCUGAGAAGCUUGUUGAACUCUUGUUUCUAACCCGUCUUCCCAUCCCUGUGGUAUAAAUGAUCGACAUAUCCUUCUUCAUUGUUUUGAUCUUACCUAUGUCAUAACUUAAAAUGAUAUAAUUUAUAUCUGUUUGAAUCUACAUAUCAUCAUGUCAUGUUUGCUCAGCGUUUUCUUUCAACUUUAAAGCUCCAACUCCAACUAUUUCAACUGGCUUUCUAUUAUUAGUCAGGCAGUACAAGUAGCACUCCAUGGCAGGACCUGUUAAGUCAUAAAAAUCGGCUACUCGAAUGGUGGGUUUCGCGCCCGGCCGAUAUAAGAUCGACAAGGGGAAAUUUGACAAACGUGUGAAGCGUUUUAAGAACCACAUGCAGAAAAUCGCAGACCUGACAGAAACUAAUCUCUACCUCAGCUUCUAUAAAGAUGUAAUCUUGCUGUUACCGGUAGAUCUGCUCUUGGUUCAUCUGUCGGGUUUUUGGUGGUACAAGAGGAUUGCAAAAGCGGUGCUUAUUGAGAAUAUGGUGUACCUAAAUACGUCAUCAUGAAGAUUGAGAAGAAUAAGAUAAAGCUGGAGAAUGAGAGAAAGAAAAAGCUGUUGAAUGCACAAACUGAAGAGGACGAGACGAUGAUGACCUGAGCCCCAUAACCUUCACCACAUGAAUACAUGGAAGACUGCAUUUCAUGGAUUGAUGGAUUUGCCUGAAUGCUAACAUCGUUGCAUUUCGUCUGUGUCAAGUUUCAUGGAUCUUUAAUCAGACAGAUCCUUUCUCCAGCUCCAGAAGUGUGCUCCCUCUGUAGAAACAUGUUAAUAAAAUCUGCGACUCCAAAAGACUGCUCAACAUCCCCUGCUGAUAAAUAGCUUUCCCAAUCUUCCAGUGCAGAGUCAUCAGCUAUAGGAUCAACUUCCUUUUGUAUACUACUAGAGGAGUGCAAAGUCAAUGUAUGAUCAGAAGCGCAAAGUCAUCAGCCAUAACAUCAACUGCCUUGCGCUUUACACAGGAUUGCAAAGUCAAUUUACUGCCUGCUUUCCCUUCUGAUCCGUUCUGACACAUUGGAGUAGACAAACACUUAUAAGCCUUUAAAUCUGAC